GGGUUGUGAGGUUAAGCGACUAAGCGUACACGGUGGAUGCCCUGGCAGUCAGAGGCGAUGAAGGACGUGCUAAUCUGCGAAAAGCGUCGGUAAGGUGAUAUGAACCGUUAUAGCCGGCGAUGUCCGAAUGGGGAAACCCAGUGUGAUUCGUCACACUAUCGUUAACUGAAUACAUAGGUUAACGAGGCGAACCGGGGGAACUGAAACAUCUAAGUACCCCGAGGAAAAGAAAUCAACCGAGAUUCCCCCAGUAGCGGCGAGCGAACGGGGAGCAGCCCAGAGUCUGAAUCAGCUUGUGUGUUAGUGGAACGGUCUGGAAAGUCCGACGGUACAGGGUGAUAGUCCCGUACACCAAAAUGCACAGGCUGUGAACUCGAAGAGUAGGGCGGGACACGUGGUAUCCUGUCUGAAUAUGGGGGGACCAUCCUCCAAGGCUAAAUACUCCUGACUGACCGAUAGUGAACCAGUACCGUGAGGGAAAGGCGAAAAGAACCCCGGCGAGGGGAGUGAAAAAGAACCUGAAACCGUGUACGUACAAGCAGUGGGAGCACCUUCGGGUGUGACUGCGUACCUUUUGUAUAAUGGGUCAGCGACUUAUAUUCUGUAGCAAGGUUAACCGUAUAGGGGAGCCGCAGGGAAACCGAGUCUUAACUGGGCGUUAAGUUGCAGGGUAUAGACCCGAAACCCGGUGAUCUAGCCAUGGGCAGGUUGAAGGUUGGGUAACACUAACUGGAGGACCGAACCGACUAAUGUUGAAAAAUUAGCGGAUGACUUGUGGCUGGGGGUGAAAGGCCAAUCAAACCGGGAGAUAGCUGGUUCUCCCCGAAAGCUAUUUAGGUAGCGCCUCGUGAAUUCAUCUUCGGGGGUAGAGCACUGUUUCGGCUAGGGGGUCAUCCCGACUUACCAACCCGAUGCAAACUACGAAUACCGAAGAAUGUUAUCACGGGAGACACACGGCGGGUGCUAACGUCCGUCGUGAAGAGGGAAACAACCCAGACCGCCAGCUAAGGUCCCAAAGUCAUGGUUAAGUGGGAAACGAUGUGGGAAGGCACAGACAGCCAGGAUGUUGGCUUAGAAGCAGCCAUCAUUUAAAGAAAGCGUAAUAGCUCACUGGUCGAGUCGGCCUGCGCGGAAGAUGUAACGGGGCUAAACCAUGCACCGAAGCUGCGGCAGCGACACUAUGUGUUGUUGGGUAGGGGAGCGUUCUGUAAGCCUGCGAAGGUGUGCUGUGAGGCAUGCUGGAGGUAUCAGAAGUGCGAAUGCUGACAUAAGUAACGAUAAAGCGGGUGAAAAGCCCGCUCGCCGGAAGACCAAGGGUUCCUGUCCAACGUUAAUCGGGGCAGGGUGAGUCGACCCCUAAGGCGAGGCCGAAAGGCGUAGUCGAUGGGAAACAGGUUAAUAUUCCUGUACUUGGUGUUACUGCGAAGGGGGGACGGAGAAGGCUAUGUUAGCCGGGCGACGGUUGUCCCGGUUUAAGCAUGUAGGCUGGUUGUCCAGGCAAAUCCGGAUAAUCAAGGCUGAGGUGUGAUGACGAGGCACUACGGUGCUGAAGUAACAAAUGCCCUGCUUCCAGGAAAAGCCUCUAAGCAUCAGGUAACAUUAAAUCGUACCCCAAACCGACACAGGUGGUCAGGUAGAGAAUACCAAGGCGCUUGAGAGAACUCGGGUGAAGGAACUAGGCAAAAUGGUGCCGUAACUUCGGGAGAAGGCACGCUGGUGUGUAGGUGAAGUCCCUGCGGAUGGAGCUGAGACCAGUCGAAGAUACCAGCUGGCUGCAACUGUUUAUUAAAAACACAGCACUGUGCAAACACGAAAGUGGACGUAUACGGUGUGACGCCUGCCCGGUGCCGGAAGGUUAAUUGAUGGGGUUAUCCGUAAGGAGAAGCUCUUGAUCGAAGCCCCGGUAAACGGCGGCCGUAACUAUAACGGUCCUAAGGUAGCGAAAUUCCUUGUCGGGUAAGUUCCGACCUGCACGAAUGGCGUAAUGAUGGCCAGGCUGUCUCCACCCGAGACUCAGUGAAAUUGAACUCGCUGUGAAGAUGCAGUGUACCCGCGGCAAGACGGAAAGACCCCGUGAACCUUUACUAUAGCUUGACACUGAACAUUGAGCCUUGAUGUGUAGGAUAGGUGGGAGGCUUUGAAGCGUGGACGCCAGUCUGCGUGGAGCCAACCUUGAAAUACCACCCUUUAAUGUUUGAUGUUCUAACGUUGGCCCCUUACCGGGGUUGCGGACAGUGUCUGGUGGGUAGUUUGACUGGGGCGGUCUCCUCCCAAAGCGUAACGGAGGAGCACGAAGGUUAGCUAAUCCUGGUCGGACAUCAGGAGGUUAGUGCAAUGGCAUAAGCUAGCUUGACUGCGAGCGUGACGGCGCGAGCAGGUGCGAAAGCAGGUCAUAGUGAUCCGGUGGUUCUGAAUGGAAGGGCCAUCGCUCAACGGAUAAAAGGUACUCCGGGGAUAACAGGCUGAUACCGCCCAAGAGUUCAUAUCGACGGCGGUGUUUGGCACCUCGAUGUCGGCUCAUCACAUCCUGGGGCUGAAGUAGGUCCCAAGGGUAUGGCUGUUCGCCAUUUAAAGUGGUACGCGAGCUGGGUUUAGAACGUCGUGAGACAGUUCGGUCCCUAUCUGCCGUGGGCGCUGGAGAAUUGAGGGGGGCUGCUCCUAGUACGAGAGGACCGGAGUGGACGCAUCACUGGUGUUCGGGUUGUCAUGCCAAUGGCACUGCCCGGUAGCUAAAUGCGGAAGAGAUAAGUGCUGAAAGCAUCUAAGCACGAAACUUGCCCCGAGAUGAGUUCUCCCUGAGACUUUAAGUCUCCUGAAGGAACGUUAAAGACGAUGACGUUGAUAGGCCGGGUGUGUAAGCGCAGCGAUGCGUUGAGCUAACCGGUACUAAUGAACCGUGAGGCUUAACCUUACAACGCCGAAG
rnacentral:rRNA from 1 species